AGAUGCUUCUUCUAUUUCUUUACUUCUACUUCAGGACACCAAUUAUAGAGAAAAAAUUACAAAAGAAAAACAUAAAGAAGAAAGUGUGCCAUUAAUAGAACAACAAAAAAAAAAAAACAGUAACAAAUUUAAACAAAAUAAAAAAAAAAGUAUUGCAAAAUGUUAAUUGAUUCUUUAUAUGUAUAAAAUAAAAAAAAUGGAUUUGUACUUUCUGAAUUUAUGAUUAGAGUACAGUUUCAAAACGAGACAGAGACCCAUAUUAAACUAAUAGUUUUACAAUCAACAAAUGUGACAUGAAAUCCAAAAUCAAAAGUAAACACAACUUUUGGAUACAAAAUAGAAGCACAAUGUUGGAGUAUAGCCAUGGACGGACUUGAAAGGGGAGGGAAUCAAUGUUUGUAAGUCACAUGAUUUCAUCAAUAAUACGAAGUUAAACUGCAAUAUAUGCUAAAUAAUAAUAUAAAAAAUAAUAAUACUUUCUAUCAAUAAUCAGCAGUUGAUUUGAUUAAACAAAAGGAACAACACAAUAAUGUAAUCUGGGCACCUGACCAAUGGGAGAGGUUUGUUAGUUCACUUGUAUCUGACAAACAAAAGAUUAUUCAAGUGUUUACAUACAUUUGGUUUCAAAAUCUGCAUAUAAUGACAUCUUGUAGGGAAAAACAAGAAUGAAUAAAGCGUUCAUCAGUUAAAUACUAAGUUUAUAUCUUUAUACUAACAAAAUUCUAGAUUGAGUAUGGUGACUGCAAAACGAUUAUUUGUAGAAAAAAAGUUAAAGUUAUUAUCAGGAAUUUAAUUAGAUCCAUUGGGUAUCGUGUCUACUAUGAAUAUUAAUUGACAUAUAGAAAACAUUAGAGUUUAAUAAAUUAGAACAAUCAAGUCAUAUUUCAUUAAAACUUGUUUUUUAAACAGAAAAGGAAGGGUAAAGAUGGCCAGAGCUAUUAAAGAUUUUUACAAGAUGAUAAAUUUUUUAUUUAUUUUUUUUUUUUAAACAAAAAACUUAUCUUGCCAACUGGACACCAAGUAACAUUCAUAGUCAGUCAAGGCGUCACACUAACCAUUUUUAAUAUUUUCCUUAAUGUGCAGAUAGUGGCCAGCUAGUUAUUUUUAUAUAUAUUUUUUUGUUAUAUAGCUUUAACAGUUUAAUGAAUACUAGUUAUAAGACUUAGGAGUAGUUUCUCUUAAUUGGUGCUGACAUGCAGGUUGUUUGUACAUAAAAAUGUAUAGUGCUUUGCAAGGUUUGCCAUAAUUAAUUCAAUUGGGAUAAUGUUUUUUCACAAGUUUUCACGAGAAGCAUAAGCAAGAUCUACAUCUAGACUUCUGAGUGUGAACGAAAAGGGGGGGGGGGG